rnacentral:lncRNA from 1 species
AUUGAAAGCCGAAAGGCCCAACCAGAAAACAUUUCCCACAGGCGUCUGUCUCCUCCUCCUCCUCGUCGUCUCCACGGCGACAGCGCCGCCGCUUCUCGGUCGCCGGCGCACCCGCCGUCUCUUCGGCCGGCGGGGGCUCUCGAGGAAGGCUUCCGCGCCGCCAUCAGUACCCCGAAUCGGGUACGCACUUCGCAACGCGCGGCCAUCUCUUCUCUAUUACUACUCUUCCCUGCGUGUGAAUCUGAACAGGACGAGUUACUCUUAUUAUUAUUAUUAUUUCUUAUCGGUUUACCUCAAUCUUUUGUACAAUGCUGAUGAUAAUAAAACUAGUAGCACAUGAUUCUCAAAUUGUACAUCCUUUCUCAAAGUACAAAUGAUUUUGACGAAUUCAAGUACUGACCAUCUUUCAGAAUGCUCAUUCUGCACACCUGAGUUGUGUCAACUGAAUGAUGGUCUUUAACUAAGUAGGUAAAUUUAUUGACCCAAAUCAUCUUAUGCUCAUAUCAUAAUUGAAGAAACCCUAGCCUGGAUAGUAACAUCUGAUCUAACAGCACACCAAGUGCAAAGAACAAGCCCACUGUGAUGCCAAAGAUGUUGACACUGAAGUUAUCUGUGUAAAAUGCAGGCGUGGGAAUAGCUUUUGCUGAAUUACACUGGCGACUGAUCAUAGGACCACAUAGCUUUGGAUUACCAUCAAAGCUUGAAUUAUCAAAUGUAUCGAACU